CCUACGGGGGGCAGCAGUGGGGAAUAUUGCACAAUGGGCGAAAGCCUGAUGCAGCGACGCCGCGUGAGCGAAGAAGGCCUUCGGGUCGUAAAGCUCUGUCCUAUGGGACGAUAAUGACGGUACCAUAGGAGGAAGCCCCGGCUAACUACGUGCCAGCAGCCGCGGUAAUACGUAGGGGGCAAGCGUUGUCCGGAAUGACUGGGCGUAAAGGGUACGUAGGCGGUCAUGUAAGUCAGGUGUGAAAUUCUAGGGCUCAACCCUAGAUAGCACUUGAAACUGCGUGACUUGAGUCAAGGAGAGGAAAGUGGAAUUCCUGGUGUAGCGGUGAAAUGCGUAGAUAUCAGGAGGAAUACCAGUGGCGAAGGCGACUUUCUGGCCUUAGACUGACGCUGAGGUACGAAAGCGUGGGGAGCAAACAGGAUUAGAUACCCGAGUAGUC
rnacentral:rRNA from 1 species